rnacentral:rRNA from 1 species
GAUGAACGCUGGCGGCGUGCUUAACACAUGCAAGUCGAACGGGAAACCUUUUAUUGAAGCUUCGGCAGAUUUAGCUGGUUUCUAGUGGCGGACGGGUGAGUAACGCGUGGGUAACCUGCCUUAUACAGGGGGAUAACAACCAGAAAUGGUUGCUAAUACCGCAUAAGCGCACAGGACCGCAUGGUCCGGUGUGAAAAACUCCGGUGGUAUAAGAUGGACCCGCGUUGGAUUAGCUAGUUGGCAGGGUAACGGCCUACCAAGGCGACGAUCCAUAGCCGGCCUGAGAGGGUGAACGGCCACAGUGGGACUGAGACACGGCCCAGACUCCUACGGGAGACAGCAGUGGGGAAUAUUGCACAAUGGGGGAAACCCUGAUGCAGCGACGCCGCGUGAAGGAAGAAGUAUCUCGGUAUGUAAACUUCUAUCAGCAGGGAAGAUAGUGACGGUACCUGACUAAGAAGCCCCGGCUAACUACGUG